GCUUUGCUAUAAGUGGUGACAUCUGGCUUUUUCAUGUUUGACUGUACCAAGUAAGUAGAACAAUUUGACCAAAAAAUGUUUUGACAGUUUUAAACAGUGUAUUUUCAGGGAGAUUUCUUUUUUUUGUUUGUUUAUUAUUCAAACUUGUUUUUUUGUUUUUUUUCUUCUUUGGACAUUUAUGGUGGAUUGAUGAUAUGUAAGGUAUGUAUUUGCCACUUUCACUUCUGAUGGUUUUGAUCAAUCGAUUAAUCAAAGUCCCUGAGGAAAACACAGCUUUAAUGUUAAUUCUUUAU